GGACGUCUGGUAGCAUCUCUGGCUGCUGUUGACCUUGUUUUUGGAGUAAAACACGGUGGAAGCUGAAUUAGUGAGGAUGACUCCUGCCAUCUCUAAGCUCCUCCCACAUCUUUACCUGCACAUGAGGAAAAUCACUCCUGUAGAAUGCAGAUGUUCAGAGGGAGAUGAUGCCACAUCUGGUCCAGCUGAUGGAAGGUCUUGAAGUUCUCUGACUGGCCUGGACUGAAGAUGGUCGUCUCACUGGAUUUAAGGUUCAGAUGCUCAGUAACAAACUCCACCAAUGAGCCAACAGGGAAGCUUUAGGUUUAUUAAAUGUUGCUGUGGAGGUAUCACUGUUUUUCUUUGUGAAUGCAAUGUGCUCCAACUGAAACUUGAAUUAGAACUUAGAAGUAAAUCCUUCCAUCUGAAAGGAUUUAGUUGCAUUAAUAACCUCAUAACAUUCUAAUUUUUAUUCCAGUCUUGGUUGGAAAUAGAAUCUCUGUAUUGAUUCAGGUAAAAACUGAACUUCACAGCAUGUUGGAGCAAAAUAACCAGAUGAAAACUGUGAUGGUGUUGGAUUGUCAGACCGUAAUGUUGCAGCUCAAAGCAGCUUUUCUAUCUCAGUUCAUUCUGACAUUCAGCUAUGAAUCAACACAGCAGAUGGUGAUCCAUGCUGUGGAAGUCUCACAUCUCCUGAUUUAAUGGAGCUGCUGUGCACUUUUUACACUGUUUAUUCACCAACACUUUAUUUAAUAAAAGUCCCAUCUAGUUUUUAUGAGGAAUGUGAUGUUUUAAUUUCUCUGUGAAUAACUGCAGUCUAAUGCAACAGCUGGAGUUGUAACAUCUGUCCUGAUAUUGAUCAUGAAGUAUUGAUCAGAAUACUUAUGGUCAGCAGUCAUCCCUGAAGUUUUACAUUAAAAUCUUUACUUGUGUUGUGAACUUUGGUAAGGAGCAGAAACUUUUGCGUUGCCAUGGAUACAUGAGUGUUAAAUUCUGUCCAUGUUUCCAUUUUGGGAAAUGCAGUCCAGUUCCAGAAUGUGGAGGAAUUUAGUCUCACAGACAACAAAUAUUAUCUGAAAGUCGGGUUAUUGUUGUUUAUCAGCACAAUACAAAAAGAUUAAUGUUAGAAAUAUUCCAGUUAAGACUCUAGAAUAUCAUGAUUUAUGUAAAUUUACCUCAGUAAUAUGAAUGUUCAGGUUAAGAUUGUACAGUGAUAUUUAUUAUGUAAGUUUAGCUGAUUAAAGUUUAUGACUCUGUGUUAGGAAAUUCUGUGAUGUCGAAAGAGGAAUCAGGAGGCAAACCCAGGGACACUCUGGAGACUCAGAUGGCUUAUGUUGUAUGAGAAUAAGGUUUACUGAAUUCAGGAGAAAUGAUACAGUGAGUAACACAGUGACGUGAGCACUGGCAGCAUCAGUUCUGAGGAGUCUCUCUGGUCUUGGGCAUAUAUACCGUUUGGAAGGCGUGCCAUGUUUAUGUUACACUCUAAAUGUGGAGGCAGGACUGUUAGUUCAGGAUCCAUCUGAACAGGAACACAGCAAUAUAAUCUUGUUGUUCUGACGUCGUCAGCCAGAUAGUUGUCUUUUAUCCCUAUGUUAUGUUUACCAAGCGUCUGUCUGUCUCAGGGUCAUAUUAGGGGACAGAGAGAGCAUACGCAAGUUUGCAUCUUCUAUCUAGGAGAACCAUGAGUCAAGGGUGACCAUUUGGGAUGACUCAGCAUUUAGAAUGUCAUAAACUAGAACCACCUCAGUCGUGAGAAAGUGAGUAAUUUUUCCUUCACACUCUGCACUAAAAUAUUAUUUAAACUGACAUUAUUAUAAUAUUUAGGGUCAGACCCUACAGUAUUGAGAUUAAGAAAUCAAAUAUUCUAUAAAAUGUAAAUACACUGAACUCAUUUGGAUAUAUUUAAGUGAGACUCUACAAUAUUAUUUGACACAAAUCUAUCUAAAUCAAAAUUUUAAUCAUUUUCAUGCCAAACAUUUACUGGACUGAUUUAAAUAUUAAAAUCACUCCUUUCUAAUCCUCUGCUGUACGUUCAAACCUGAGGCCUUAAAUAGAAACACACAAGUAUCUGAUUGAAGGAACUUCUGCAGAGUCCUGGUUCCAGAACAUGAUGAUAGAAUUAUAGACAAACUUUAACAAAAGCUGCCUGAGAGUUUACAGGUUUUUAUGUUGGAUUUCUUCAGUAAUUUAAUGAGAGUUAUCAGCAAAAAUCAAGUUUUCAUUUGAUGAACUUAAUUUCCUAAAACAUCCAGAAUUGGAGCUCAUAUCUUUGGCAGCUGUAAAGUUUCUGCUCCUUCAAAGUUCACAACACAAUGAAUGAAUUCCUAAAACACUCUCAAUGCUGGAGAGCGUUUGUGAUGCUGAAGCAGUGAGCAGUUUUUCUGUUUCUUCUCUGGAGAUGCACAAUGAGGGACGUCUGCAGAGACUGAGAAAGAGUCUCACCACAUCCUGACAUGAGGAAAAAGACUUUAUUGAAGACUACAAUGAGAAAAACUAUCAGACAGCAGACAGCUGCAUUCAAGUCUGUAGCUGCUGAAUUCAUGGAUGAAUCAUCUGGCACUAGAGAAGAAGACCAUCAAACAUCCACGUCAGCUGAUGGAGGUCCAAGAGUCUCACUGAACAAACAACCUACAGAGUGAAGACCUCGAAUCUGAUUGGACGGCCUCCUAUUCAGCCAUGUGUGAACAAAUGCCUCUAAGCUGAUUUGUUUUCUAAAAUAAAUCUAGUUUG
ensembl:lncRNA